rnacentral:rRNA from 1 species
AUUGAACGCUGGCGGCAGGCCUAACACAUGCAAGUCGAGCGAACGGCGGACGGGUGAGUACUACCUGGGAAUUGACCAGUCGAGGGGGAUAACAGUUGGAAACGACUGCUAAUUCCGCAUACGCUUGGAUUGCCAAGGUGGGAUUAGCUAGUUGGUGGGGUAAUGGCUCACCAAGGCGACGAUCCCCAGCUGUUCUGAGCGGCUGAUCAGCCAAACUGGAACUGAGAUCCGGUCCAGCUUCCUACGGUAGGCCGCAGGGGUGAAUAUUGCACAAUGGGGGAAACCCUGAUGCAGCCAUGCCGCGUGUGUGAAGAAGGCAUUCGGGUUGUAAAGCACUUUCAGCGAGGAGGCGUUACUCGCAGAAUAAGCACCGGCUAACUCCGUGCCAGCAGCCGCGGUAAUAC